rnacentral:tRNA from 8 species
UUAUAUUUAAUUCAUAAUAUUAAAUUGCAAAUUUAAAGUAGAUAAAAAUAAAAGUCUAAGGCUU